CUUUUAAAUUACAGGUGUUGAGAGGGAGCACAGCACUGAGCGGUCUCUCCGGCCCUGCGGACACUCGUGCUGUGGGCUGAGCCUGCACAGGAAGGGUGAGCAGUGGCAGCACGUUGAGCAGGCAGGUCGAAGCGAGAAAGAAGCAAACAGUGGCAUAAGCUUGACCAGCACUCUGCUUGCCAGCUGGUGACAGCGCUCCAUUUAACAGCAUACACCCAAAAUGAGCCCACAUACAGCUGAAGGCUGGAUUUAAACUAUGAUACUUCAAGUCAGACUCCCAGGAAGGAAAGGCAGGAACGUCAGAUAAUCAGACAACAGGCAGAGUUACCAAAUGGCCAAAGAACAGUUUUUAUUGGCCAAAGUAACCAAGAAACCAUUUUCUUCCAAUAAACAAAAUAAAAACAUAACUGAAACAAUGGGAAACGUUUGUCAACUAAGUGAAACGCUAACUAACCCACGUAAGCUUGAUUGUUCAUAUUCAUCCUCUGGAAAUAUUCCUCCUUAUAAACAAUCUGCUUCUCUCCCUUGCGCUACUGCACCCCCUGAAGUAAGAAAGUGGAAAGGCUCAAAGUCAUUGAGGACAAGAGAACAAAUGCACUGGGAGGUAUGGAUCUGUCCAUUCACACAGAUGGAAAAGGCUGCUGCUAUCUGCAAAUAUCUCACAUGCAAAGUAUCUGGCAUUAAUAGUUUCCCUUUUUGGGGGCACACAUUUUACUACGUGAACUUUUUUUUUUUUGGAACCCAGGAAACAGUCCAUUCAUGGCCUGUACAGGUUGUUAAAACUCAAAUCCUACCUGCAGUUUGUCAAUUAACACUUCUGGACUCAUACACUUUGCUAAUUCAAAAGAAAAUAGAAAGCUACAGAGUUCCUAAUGUAAAUGACUGCGUUGAAACUCAACAUUUACUCAUGUCUGUAAAUGAGACAGCAGUCAGUGAAAGCAGAUGGCUGUGAGAGCCCUGUAGGCUCUGGUAGCAGGCACCUCGGAGGGGAGAAAUGAGAAAGAUGCACCCAGGUGUAAUGCACUGAUUCCAAGGGGAGAUCACUAACUGGAGCCCUCCUAAAAGAUCUGCUUAAUAAAAGUUAUGCAAAUCUGUUCAACUUAACUGAAGUAGGUGAAAAUUAAAAAACAAACAAACCAAAAAGCAACAAACCCAGUGUCUCAGAAAACCCAUACUGAUAUUUAUAGACUGUGUUUUUAAGAUGUCACACAUACCUGCACCAAGCCGCGUGCUGUGCGCGCAUCUUUAAAGGGGUGUGAGUAGAAACGGCUGCAGCACACAACUCCCAGAGCAUUGAAGCAACACUACAGACCCAGUGAGAAUUCUGGCUUGUGGGAGUUACUGACCACCACGUGCUGUUGCACUCAGAACAGCAACGCGUGUUCUGACAGAGGAAUUUAACUGGGAGCAGAGGGCCUGCAGCGCUAACCUACACAUGAUUUUACAAAACAUUUUGAGACCUAACACCCAUACUACACCUUUUGUAAGAAAAUAGAGAGCAGCUAUCGGCUGCAGUUCUUCUAAACUACUGUAGGAAGGCUUUGCUAGCACGCCUCCAAACUUGGCAACCAUUUGAGGUAAUCAACGAUGCUGUGAAAACGAGCAUCCUUCAUUUCUCUCCACCCGCACCACCCGUUGCCUCCUUAUUGAGUCCUCUGAUCGACAAAUCAUAAACCACUUCCUCGAUUUUCUUGACGUCGUAUUUCAGGCCGUCGUAACGCUUCCUCAGGGAGUCGUUCUUCAGGUUGAGGAGACGGAAGCCCGAAUCCAACUCGUUGAUAAAGGUCGAGAUGCGGAGAGGGCGAGAAUAGUCACCAGCUGUGACACUGUUCACCGCCAGCCUGGCCUGGGAGAAGAAGCACAAAUCACCUGGGAGAACAUCAGAGGAACACACCCAAGCCACUCCAUUGAGCAAAUGAAGCAGAUCUGUUCCAAGCAGUCAGGUUAUUAAAUUCACGUCUACCUUUUGGUUGACCAGACUCGUGAAUUUGCAACCCAGAACCUCGCUUAACACUGAAUAUAACAGUAAGGAACAGCCCUGACACACACACAAGCAGGUGGCUAAAGGUCAGACUCAUCCAAAUACAAACCAUAAUUACACAAACUACGUGGGACAGUUAGAACAAUAACACGCUACUUCUGUGUCAGUUUCAACCCAAACGUUUGCAUGGAUGUCUUCCCUACCAGCUCACUGGCGAGAGUUAAUACACCAGAAAGGUAGUCUUCGAUGUCCAGGUGGAAGCCCCUCUCCCGAUCAGCUUCAACUAAGAAAAAAAGCAGAGUGGUGAUCAGGUGAUACAGAACAUGAGCAAAAGCAGCGAGCUGAAAUUGCAUUAAUUCAUUGGAGCUAAUUGGGAGUAUCAAAUUUACGAAAUAAUAUUACAAAAUAAAACCCAUCCUUUUCCUGG
rnacentral:lncRNA from 1 species